rnacentral:misc_RNA from 1 species
AACACAACUUUAGUUUCUCAUCAAACGUGAUUUGACGUGAUUGAUAUUUACGCAGCUUACGAGCUCCUACACUGUGUUGGGAUUGAAAUAUAUGUAUAUUGCUUAUAACAUUGUUGAUUAACUACUGCGUUUAUUCGCAACAAAUGAAAGUAAUUCGACUUACUACAAUCUUACUGGAUUUAUCCAUAUUUGGCAGCAGAGUGUCUACCAAAUUAAAUGUCAACAUAACCUAACCUAACAGCUUCUUAAACACUGAUUUCGAGCGAGAUAUAUCACGGCUUUCAAAAUGCACACAUCUACUAAUUUUGUUCUACGUGGUGGUGAUGCGGCAUUUGCUAAUAGGCAGAAAUUAUUGUUUGAUCAGCUCUCGAUCGCUGAAAACAAGUGUAUUAAAAAUGAUAGAUCUGAAACAAAUGAUACCAAAAUGGAGGUGGAUGAAUGCGGUAGAAGUUCAACCUUGAGAGAGGAUCGGAAACGAAAGAGAGAAACUAAAAAAUUUCGUGGCAAGGAAAGCAUCUUUAAGCGUCCUGAGGGUCCUGCACCUCGUGCAACUUUCAGAAACAUUCCAGAUUAUCAUAGGAAUCCGCACAAAUGGGUCAAAUAUAGUCUGGACGAUGUAUCCAGUGAAGACAUGACAGACCGCAGUAAUACACAAGCUGCCAUGUCAUUUUUGAGAGAACUAAAAGCUCGCAGGAAAAAUGAAGAAGUUAAUCAGUAUGAAGAGAACAUGGAUGUUGAGCCUUGCAAGUCAAAUUUACAAGAUUCUGUAGAGAUGCAGUUUAAAUCUAAAAAACGUACAUUAAAAUCACAAAUAACAUUUAGAAAGCCUCAAAAUGAAGCAACAGAAAAUUCUGAAACAGUUAUUAUAAAAUCAGAUGACAGGCCUGUAUUCAGAAGCAGUAAAAUUAUUUUGCCAGAAUAUGUGGUUGGACAGAAACCAAAGAAGAUAAAUAAACAGGAUCGGCCUGUAAUUAAAAUUGAUCGUUCAAAAGAACUUAAAUUGGACCACUUACAGGAACCAGAUGAAGAAGAUAAUUAAAAAAUGUAUAAUAAACUAUAAUUUUGUUCUACAUGGUACAAAAUUUAUUAAGUAUAACCAUAUUUUUUAAUCCAAUUUAAUCCUUCCACUGUCAAUGACUUUGGCCGAUAUUCCAAACCAAUAUAUCCAGUGUAGCCCACUG